GGUCCAAUGGUCUAGUGGUAUGACGCUUCGCUCACAUUCAAGUGCUCCGAAUCGGUCCUGAGUUCGAACCUCGGUUGGACCU